CACGGGGGGAGCAAGCGUUGUUCGGAAUCACUGGGCUUAAAGGGCGCGUAGGCGGUCGAUCAAGUCAGGGGUGAAAUCCUGCAGCUUAACUGUAGAAGUGCCUUUGAUACUGGUCGUCUCGAGGGAGGUAGGGGUGUGUGGAACUUCCAGUGGAGCGGUGAAAUGCGUUGAUAUUGGAAGGAACGCCGGAGGCGAAAGCGACGCACUGGACCUCUUCUGACGCUGAGGCGCGAAAGCUAGGGGAGCAAACGGG
rnacentral:rRNA from 1 species